rnacentral:lncRNA from 10 species
UUUUUUUUAAGGAAAAGCUUUCCUUUUAUCUCUGCUUUCCCUCUCCCCUACCCCUUCCCUCUGUGGUUCUGAUCCAGACCUCCUCUGGAGAGAGGCAAGUUCACUGUCUACGUGGGCUGGCAAUGCCGGGAAAGAGUCUGUUCAGGUGGAGAAUCUCAUUCUGCAGUGCUCCCGCUAAGCAGCCCUUUCAACGUGUUCGCCUGGACUCAGUCAUGAGCCAGCUACUGAACUGUCUUAGUCUCCCCCACUGUGGCUGAAAACAGACUGACAUGAGGAAAUGGAUGGGAACCAGAGUAAGCGCGUCUCCCCACUUCCUGAACAGGAGGGAAAAGAAAGAAGAGUAAGAAAAAGAGAUGGAGGAAGGAAGCGGAAAAGACAGAAAGAUCCAAAGAUGCAAAUGUGGGACAUUUUAGAAGAACGGAACGUUGCAUUUCGGCCUUCCUGGCUGAUAUAAGCCAUCUGGUGACUGCAUGCAAAAGAGCCCUACCAAGAUUAUUUUCAUGGAGUUAUUUUGCCACUGUGUAUUUCACACUUCAUCUUUGCAGGAGAAUGGAUGGAUUUACUCUGCACGUAGCAGGGGACAAUCUGUGGAAAGAAGAGAGAGGGAUAAUCCAAUAGCAAAAGUGAGGGGUGAUGAAGAGUGAAAGGUAGCAAUGUCCCCUUCUGCAUAUUCCUCUCCAUUCAGCAUUGGAAUCUAAGUCUGACGUUUUAGACAAGGCUCAGGAACAGCUUAAACUAUACAUGCAGUUCCCUUCUCUAGUCCCAAAGGCUCCCAGUCAGCCCUAGGCCUUGUGUAGGGAGCUUCCAAAUGCCUUUUCAAGGUUUAAUUAAUUUUCUGCAAAAAAUGAUUGGUUGACAUGACUGCAAUAAACAUCAAAUUCCAUUAAUUAAUACU